rnacentral:lncRNA from 10 species
GGGGAAACAGGCACUUGCAAUGCUGCUAAGGACAUGUUGCAGAAGAAAUGCAAGUACAGUGAAGAAUAAGACUGGGGAACUUUUACAAUUCAGAGUGGCCUUCACUGUGGGCGGUCCGAAUUGAUCCCUGUAUACAGGUGCUUCUGGGGUGACAUUUUCCCUGCUCCAUGGAGCUCCGGGAGGAGUGCGGACCAACCCCUUCUUUGCAGGCCUGUCUGUGGGGUGCCACUCCUCCUCCCACCUCCCCACUGCACAGACAGCCCAUCAGUGUCCCUGAGCUGCUCCAGAAGGAUGCAGCUCUGAGGAGGCUCUGGGAGCGGUGUAUCCUAGCAACCUCUGAGGCUGGCAUCUGCAGGGCUAGGCCCAGACUCAAGGCUCUUUCUAAUUUGCCAGCCUUCCCUUAAUGAUAAGCUUUCCCACACGGAUGUGGAGUGGGGAGGAAGAGGGGAGAAGUGGGCAGGAAGUGUUGCCUCCAACCCCAUCACAGAGUAGGUCAAGCCUCGCCCACAAUACUGCCGGGGAUGGGGAAGGAGGGAGGGCACAGUGAGUCCGUUAACUGAAUAUGCCACUUGUCCAUCACCGUGGCCGGUUUAUCACCAUUUAGAGGACAAUGAAUCCAGGCAGUGAUCCACCAAUGAUAACUAACAUCAUAAAAAGAUACAUGGCCGGAUAUGAUGUUCCUUCUGACGGAAGACCACAACACCUGCUGAAAAAUCAAAUCUGAAUCGGAUCAAGCCUCUAGAGGAGGCAGCACCCAGGGUCAUUCCUGGAGCAUAAACGAUCCCUGCAGAACAUGGGCUAGAAGACCCCACAGUGGGGCAGAGGCAGGUCCUGGACUGGGAUCCCAGCAGUGAGAAGACCUGGACAUCAACCCUAUUUCAUUGUGCCUCUGCAAAUCUCCCAACUUUUGGAGCUGUAGCUGCAAGCUCAGACUUGUGGUUUCCUGUACCUGGAGGAGGCCCAGGUCAUUCUGUUAAGUCCCUUGUCUAUUUCCUGCUUUUAUCUGGAUGCUGAGUUAAUUAUUUGAUCCAACAAUAAAACUAACAAGGUUUUAUUUGUUUUUAAUGUCUUCUCUUUGCUGAACGCUGUGCUGGGUGCUG